rnacentral:rRNA from 1 species
UUUCUUUGGAGAGUUUGAUCCUGGCUCAGGACGAACGCUGGCGGCGUGCCUAAUACAUGCAAGUC